UUGUACACAAAGAUUUUUGAAUUCUUCAAAAGUCUCAGAUUUUUCCCUAAUGACACUAGUGGAAAAAACUCUUUAUAGAAAACUUCUUAGGUCGGUUAGCGUUGCCACCUGACUUAAGAACAUGUGCGGUGGCAAUUCUAUAAAGGAAAAUGUUAACAUGUGCAUCCAGAGCACAUGUUAAGAAUACAAAUGUAGUAAUAUUCUCUUGUAACUUGUGC
rnacentral:lncRNA from 1 species